GAGUUUGAUCCUGGCUCAGGAUGAACGCUGGCGGCGUGCUUAACACAUGCAAGUCGAACGCUGAAGCUCCCAGCUUGCUGGGGGUGGAUGAGUGGCGAACGGGUGAGUAUCACGUGAGGAACCUGCCCUGAACCCUGGGAUAAGCCCGGGAAACUGGGUCUAAUACCGGAUAGGACUGAUCAUCGCAUGGUGGUUGGUGGAAAGCUUUUGCGGUUUGGGAUGGUCUCGCGGCCUAUCAGCUUGUUGGUGGGGUAAUGGCCUACCAAGGCGUUGACGGGUAGCCGGCCUGAGAGGGUGACCGGCCACACUGGGACUGAGACACGGCCCAGACUCCUACGGGAGGCAGCAGUGGGGGAUAUUGCAUAAUGGGCGCAAGCCUGAUGCAGCGACGCCGCGUGAGGGAUGACGGCCUUCGGGUUGUAAACCUCUUUCAGUUGGGAAGAAGCCUUUCGGGGUGACGGUACCUUCAGAAGAAGCACCGGCUAACUACGUGCCAGCAGCCGCGGUAAUACGUAGGGUGCGAGCGUUAUCCGGAAUUAUUGGGCGUAAAGAGCUCGUAGGCGGUUUGUCACGUCUGCUGUGAAAGCCCAGGGCUUAACCCUGGGUUUGCAGUGGGUACGGGCAGGCUGGAGUGCAGUAGGGGAGACUGGAAUUCCUGGUGUAGCGGUGAAAUGCGCAGAUAUCAGGAGGAACACCGAUGGCGAAGGCAGGUCUCUGGGCUGUUACUGACGCUGAGGAGCGAAAGCAUGGGGAGCGAACAGGAUUAGAUACCCUGGUAGUCCAUGCCGUAAACGUUGGGCACUAGGUGUGGGGAUCAUUUCCACGAUUUCCGCGCCGUAGCUAACGCAUUAAGUGCCCCGCCUGGGGAGUACGGCCGCAAGGCUAAAACUCAAAGGAAUUGACGGGGGCCCGCACAAGCGGCGGAGCAUGCGGAUUAAUUCGAUGCAACGCGAAGAACCUUACCAAGGCUUGACAUACACUAGACCGCCUCAGAGAUGGGGUUUCCCUUCGGGGCUGGUGUACAGGUGGUGCAUGGUUGUCGUCAGCUCGUGUCGUGAGAUGUUGGGUUAAGUCCCGCAACGAGCGGAACCCCUAUUCUAUGUUGCCAGCAAUUCGGUUGGGGACUCAUGGGAGACUGCCGGGGUCAACUCGGAGGAAGGUGGGGACGACGUCAAAUCAUCAUGCCCCUUAUGUCUUGGGCUUCACGCAUGCUACAAUGGCCGGCACAAUGGGUUGCGAGAUCGUGAGGUUGAGCUAAUCCCAUAAAACCGGUCUCAGAUCGGAUUGGGGUCUGCAACUCGACCCCAUGAAGUCGGAGUCGCUAGUAAUCGCAGAUCAGCAACGCUGCGGGAAUACGUUCGCGGGCCUGUACACAC
rnacentral:rRNA from 1 species